CAGCCGCCACGGUAAUACGAAGGGUGCAAGCGUUAAUCGGAAUUACUGGGCGUAAAGCGCACGUAGGCGGCUUGGUAAGUUAGAGGUGAAAGCCUGGAGCUCAACUCCAGAAUUGCCUUUAAGACUGCCGAGCUAGCAGGUGAGAGAGGUAAGUGGAAUUCCGAGUGUAGAGGUGAAAUUCGUAGAUAUUCGGAAGAACACCAGUGGCGAAGGCGGCUUACUGGCUCAUACUGGACGCUGAGGUGCGAAAGCGUGGGGAGCAAACAGGAUUAGAUACCCCUGUAGUCCCUGUCUCUUAUAC
rnacentral:rRNA from 1 species